rnacentral:sRNA from 1 species
CUAAAUGAACAGUAUCACAUGAGGCACAAAAACUAGAUCCAGACAGAGAAAGAAUAAGUUAGAACAGAGUAUUCACGUGAAAACAUCAGAUCUAUACAACAAAAGACCAAAACUCAACAGAAAUAGCAUCCCAUUUCAGAUAAUCAAACGACAACAGUGAAAAGCAUAGAAGAAAAGAAAAGAAAUAUAAAUAAAAUUCAGAUCCAUAAUCGUAAGGGUCUAGUUAAGGACAAGACAGAAAGCAAUUCAAUUUGGGAAGAAAACAUUUUGCAGUUGUGGAGGAAAACAAGGUUUAUAGAAAGAAAAACGGUACGAGAAUAGAAGAGAAGAGAAGCGUGAUGAACGAACCUCCAAAAGAACGAAAGAAUGGAAUUUGAACAAAGAAAUUCAGUGAGUGGAAGUAAACCAGAGUCACCAGACAGUGCAGAACCAAAGCGCAAGUGACUGGUUUAGUGUUGUGAGGGUAAGAGAAAGAACCUUGUCUCCCUAUUUAUAGUGAUCACUGCCUCCUUCGUAUGACUGGAUACCGGAACCGGCGGUGGUGCCGUUAGAUUUGAGACCCAAAUCAAAGGGGUCGGUGAGAUUGUGAUUUGCUAUGGCGAGAGCGCGUCUAUAACCGGGUACCACCGGUCACUUACCAACCUCCACGGAAAACGUGUCAGUGUCGGUAGCACAAUACGUUACAGGUAGAUCCCACCGUGAUCGUUGGUAAAAUUUAAAAUACUCUUAAUAAAACAUUACUUUUGCAUCUACUUGUAAG